rnacentral:rRNA from 1 species
UACGUAGGGUGCAAGCGUUAAUCGGAAUUACUAGGCGUAAAGCGUGCGCAGGCGGUGAUGUAAGACAGGUGUGAAAUCCCCGGGCUUAACCUGGGAACUGCAUUUGUGACUGCAUCGCUGGAGUGCGGCAGAGGGGGAUGGAAUUCCGCGUGUAGCAGUGAAAUGCGUAGAUAUGCGGAGGAACACCGAUGGCGAAGGCAAUCCCCUGGGCCUGCACUGACGCUCAUGCACGAAAGCGUGGGGAGCAAACAGG